UACGUAGGGUGCGAGCGUUGUCCGGAUUUAUUGGGCGUAAAGGGCUCGUAGGCGGCGAUUUAAGUCAGAGGUGAAAAGCCUGGAGCUCAACUCCAGAACAGCCUUUGAGACUGGAUUGCUAGAAUCACGGAGAGGUGGGUGGAAUUCCGAGUGUAGAGGUGAAAAUUCGUAGAUAUUCGGAAAGAACACCAGUGGCGAAGGCGGCCCACUGGACGUGUAUUGAACGCUGAGGUGCGAAAGCGUGGGGAGCAAACAGG
rnacentral:rRNA from 1 species